AGCUUUGCUCAGUGGCAGUAUCGUAGCCAAUGAGGUUUAUCCGAGCCGCGAUUAUUGCUAAUUGAAAAAGCCAAAAAUGAAAGCUGAGUGGUGCACGUGCUGUGCAAAAACAGUAUUUCACAACUCAGGUUUGGUAUCCAUAUCAGGAUGG
rfam:Tupaia chinensis contig90853, whole genome shotgun sequence.